rnacentral:rRNA from 1 species
UACGAAGGGUGCAAACGUUGCUCGGAAUUAUUGGGCGUAAAGCGCACGUAGGCGGCAUUGCAAGUCCCAUGUGAAAGCCCACGGCUUAACCGUGGAAGUGCAUGGGAAACUGCAGUGCUUGAGUACUUAAGAGGAUCGCGGAAUUCCCGGUGUAGAGGUGAAAUUCGUAGAGAUGCGGAGGAACACCGAUGGCGAAGGCAGCCCCCUGGGUCGACACUGACGCUCAGGCACGAAAGCGUGGGGAGCAAACAGG